GCCACCCAUAUGAAAGGAUGACACACAUACUCCAUGUCCGUGUGAACAGAGGAUUAUGAGAAAAUUGACAAACAAACAGCUCCACAGACAAUGGGGAUUAUGGUCAUCAAGGUAUUGAAACAAGACCAGUGAAUUCAAGAAAUGGGCAGAGAUGAGCUGCAAAUGGCUGUCUUCAAGUUACAGAAAUCAAGGACAACCAAGCUGUGAUUCUAACCACAUCAUCUUCCUGCUAUUUGCUGGUUACAGACAUGGGUAUCUCUGGCCCAGCUGACUACUACAACCAAGAUGUAUCCUCCUUCCCCUCCUCAAGACAGAAGAAUGUUAUUGCAUCCAUUAAAGGUACUUGAAACUGUUUGCCUCCUGGAUUCAUCAGACCUCUGAGUGAUGAAUAUGAAAAUUGCAUCAAGGCUUCAUAUACAAGUCUUCAGAACAUGC